AGUGAACGCUGGCGGUAGGCCUAACACAUGCAAGUCGAACGGCAGCACAGUAAGAGCUUGCUCUUACGGGUGGCGAGUGGCGGACGGGUGAGGAAUACAUCGGAAUCUACUUUUUCGUGGGGGAUAACGUAGGGAAACUUACGCUAAUACCGCAUACGACCUACGGGUGAAAGCAGGGGAUCUUCGGACCUUGCGCGAUUGAAUGAGCCGAUGUCGGAUUAGCUAGUUGGCGGGGUAAAGGCCCACCAAGGCGACGAUCCGUAGCUGGUCUGAGAGGAUGAUCAGCCACACUGGAACGGAGACACGGUCCAGACUCCUACGGGAGGCAGCAGUGGGGAAUAUUGGACAAUGGGCGAAAGCCUGAUCCAGCCAUACCGCGUGGGUGAAGAAGGCCUUCGGGUUGUAAAGCCCUUUUGUUGGGAAAGAAAAGCAGCAGGUUAAUACCCCGCUGUUCUGACGGUACCCAAAGAAUAAGCACCGGCUAACUUCGUG
rnacentral:rRNA from 1 species